ACUUCACCAGAGUGAAGAGAGCAGAAUCCACUCACUAACUUCUUGUAGUCCAGUGGGUUUUAACCAGUUUUUUUUCUCUCGUGGACCCCUCUGAUAAUUUGGUGAAUUCUAACACUACUGGAGUUUGUCAUUCAUGACUGAAGGAAAUGCUAAAUUUCAGUUACAGAACCCUGAACUCCAGAGCUGUCUUCUAGAGAUAACUUGGUAAAAAGUCACUGCUUGGUUGUGACCUAACAUGCAGAAAAGCAGAUUUGGGAAAUGUACUGGACAGUCACCACAAAUUAGGAUGAAUGAGGGCUCUCACAGUGGGGAUCCAGCCCUUUUACAGAAAGAGUUGUCCUAAAGGAUGACCUGCUCUCCCACCUUCUAUCUGCGAGGUGGCAGGACCCAGAGGUGUUAUAUGAUCAGCAAGAUGGUGAUAUGUGUUGUUUUCAACAGAACUUUCCAACUCUAGCAACCUCAAAUCAAGAAGAAAUACAUCAUAAAUAAUAAUAAAACUAUGGCAACAAAAGAAGACA